rnacentral:rRNA from 1 species
GACAGAGGAUGCAAGCAUUAUCCGGAAUGAUUGGGCGUAAAGUGUCUGUAGGUGGCUUUUUAAGUCCGCCGUCAAAUCCCAGGGCUCAACCCCUGGACAGGCGGUGGGAAACUACCAAGCUGGAGUACGGGUAGGGGCAGAGGGAAUUUCCGGUGGAGCGGUGAAAUGCGUAGAGAUCGGAAAGAACACCAACGGCGAAAGCACUCUGCUGGGCCGACACUGACACUGAGAGACGAAAGCUAGGGGAGCGAAUGGG